rnacentral:rRNA from 1 species
CCGGCACGGGUGGAGUAACGCGUAUGCAACUUACCUAUCAGAGGGGGAUAGCCCGGCGAAAGUCGGACUAAUACCGCAUGAAGCAGGGAUCCCGCAUGGGAAUAUUUGCUAAAGAUUCAUCGCUGAUAGAUAGGCAUGCGUUCCAUUGGGCAGUUGGCGGGGUAACGGCCCACCAAACCGACGAUGGAUAGGGGUUCUGAGAGGAAGGUCCCCCACAUUGGAACUGAGACACGGUCCAA